CUACGGAAGGCAGCAGUGGGGAAUUUUGGACAAUGGGGGCAACCCUGAUCCAGCAACGCCGCGUGAAGGAUGAAGGCCUCCGGGUCGUAAACUUCUUUUAUAGGGGACGAAUCACUCCGUGAAUAACGGAGAAUGACGGUACCCUGUGAAUAAGCCACGGCUAACUACGUGCCAGCAGCCGCGGUAAUACGUAGGUGGCAAGCGUUACUCGGAAUUACUAGGCGUAAAGCGCAGGUAGGUGGUUCGGUAAGUCCGUAAUGAAAUCUCCCGGCUUAACUGGGAGGGGUUUAGGGAUACUGCCGAGCUUGAGUGUGGGAGAGGUCACUGGAAUUCCUGGUGUAGCGGUGAAAUGCGUAGAGAUCAGGAGGAACACCUAUGGCGAAAGCAGGUGACUGGCCCAAUACUGACACUGAGCUGCGAAAGCUAGGGGAGCAAACAGGAUUAGAUACCCCGGUAGUCGU
rnacentral:rRNA from 1 species